rnacentral:rRNA from 1 species
GAUGAACGCUGGCGGCGGGCCUAACACAUGCAAGUCGAGGGGAAACAAGAGAGAGGCUUGCUUCCCCGACCGUAGAGGCGGGCACGGGUGUAAAACGCGUGUAAACCACCCCUCAUACUGGGGUAAAACCCGGGAAACGGGGGCCAAAUCCGUCAAUAUUUAGUUUUCCGUGAUGCAACAACGAAAAACGGUUUUCUCGUUCAUUAAUGGAUGUCCGUCGGUGUAUUAGCUAGUUGGUGAGGGGACGGCUCACCAAGGCAAUGAGACAUAGCCGACCUGAGAGAGUGAUCGGCCACACUGGGACUGAGACACGGCCCAGACUCCUACGGGAGGCAGGAGUAGGGAAUCUUCCGCAAUGGACGAAAGUCUGACGGAGCAAUGCCGCGUGAGUGAAGAAGGUUUUCGGAUCGUAAAACUCUGUUGUAAGGGAAGAACAAGUACGUUAGUAACUGAACGUACCUUGACGGUACCUUACCAGAAAGCCACGGCUAACUACGU